CGUCUUGAGCGCGAAAUUCUCGCUCGCUUCUCCGUCGAGAAUUUACAGGAUCAUAAAACCCUAGCAAAUUAGCGAGGGUUUAUCUGCGUCUGACUGAUAUUUCUCGUAUUAACUUAUUAGGUGUUAGGAUAAAGGAUUAGUCUACCAGUUAGAUUAUACAAUACAGUUAUACUCCGAAAUAGUUUGGUUAGUUUUUCUUCUCUCUCUCUUUUUUCCCUUUCCUUCUCUUACUGUCCAGUGAAACGGAGUUCUAUAUCUUAUUUUCCCUUUCCUUUUUGGAUUUCGAUCAUGGCGAGCACUCCCCAGCGAAUCAGUUCCGGACACGGGAGGCAACUGAUGAUGCCCUCGGUUAUCCCGAUUUGUGAAGAUGAUAAUGCGUUGUUGAAUACACAAUGCACCUGUAAUCUAGAGCUUAGAUGGCAAACGGAAGUUAGUUCUAGCACUUAUGCGACUCCAUUGAUUGCAGAUAUCAACAGUACCUUGAAGUUCUACGGGCUCAUGAUGACUUAAUGAAAGCCCAACUUACAAAGUCAUAGAAUGACUGUAAUUGCUUCACCAGGCCCAAUAAUAGUCCUUCUAUAGCUAUGGUCUACAAGUAGUACAUUGAUGAGAUUGUCUAAGUUAACUUUAAGCACUGAAAUCAACAGGCCAGGUUUCAUCCUUGAAGAAAUUUCCUAGAAAGAAAGAGGAAAUUUUUUGGAUCUUUCUUUAAUAUACAUCCUUUCCAAGCAUAAUUCAUGGGUCUCUCUCUCUCUCUCAACUUUAGCAUUGAAAAGAAAAAGGAGAAAGUGGAAAAAAAACAACAACAAAGCAAAGACCCAUCUCUUCUUUUCUCAUAUCCCUUCAAACUUUGAAAUCCAAUCUACUGAUGAUGUUGAUGAAAUUAAACAAAAAACAAUACCUUAAGCUCUCCCCCACCCUUAAAUUUUAUUUUGUAAAUUUCAAGGCAUGUCAGUGAAUAAUGUAGCACUUAUGCUAACCACGCCAUAGAUCUAUUUGGAAUAUUUGUAAAUCCCUAAGAAGGUAUGCCCUGUGAAAAUGAUCUUCUUGUAGGCUUCUAUACACCUUUGUCUUUCUUUAGUAACAUGCCAAAUUCCCUAUCCUUUCUUGGGAUUCCUCAACUCUACUAGAUUUGUAUUAUUGUGUAAGUUUUCUAAGGUUAUAUGUGGGCAACUGGACAUCACCAUGCGUAGUUUUAAGGAUUGGGGCUCAUCUAUGAUGAUACAAUAUGUCGCUACAUAGCUAAUUAACAAAAAUUAGACCAAUCAUGACUACUAAUUAGGCUCUAAAACAUGCCCAUAGCAAACAUGGACAAAAAUAAAGUUGGUUAGAGACUUAAGAGUCCAAUAAAAUAAGGUCUCCCACCAAAAUUGAUAGAAUAAAUGAAGCUUCUUAGUUGCUAUUUAACAUAGUUUCUCCUUCAUUUGACUAACAUUAUAAUCUGAAAAUAAGAAAUAACAGGUAGCUCAGUCUAAUGGGGGAGAAAUGUUAAUGUAAGUUAUGAAGAGGUAUGCUGGGUCCAAAAUGGGGACUUUGUUUAAAGUGCCCUACAUUGUUUCUUUUUAAAAAAAAAUAGGGAAAUUAAAAGGUAUAUGCGCUCUGUUUUUGUGGGGUAAAGUGUCCUAUUAAAUUCCCCCUUUUGGAUCCAUAUUUCUUUUGUAAUGAUGGGUUCACUUCCCCCUCCCUUCAAUCCACAGUUAGAUUUGUAAUUACAAGCCAAGUUGAUCUCUUUUAGUUUUACAAUAAUCAAGACUGAGAGAGAGAGAGAGAGAAGAAGCCUAUGUUACAGUGAGGGAAUAAUAAACUACUUUAGCAUUGAAUAUGGUUUUCAUAAUUAUGGACAAUAAUGAUGUAUAGGUAUAUAAACAAGACAACAUUAUUUCAUAUUAUUGCAUUCUGCGAAAUUAGUGGAAUCCAUAGGUGCAUGCGCAUGUGUGUCUUAAUUUGCAUAUAUUUGUUGGCCAACUUGAAUCAUCAGAGAUGUUGAUUGCUCUUAGAAUCCAAUAUAUUUAUAUCUUCACUACUGUCAUAUACAAUCAUUGUCAAGUGUGUAUUUUAUCUGUUGUUUUUCCUGAUAUUGCUGCAACACAUUACACAUGUUUGCAUAGAGUGUAAAAUAAACAGAGAGACAGAAUCUCUCUCUGUUGUUUUCAUGGGAGAAGAUGACAAAUGUAUUUAAAGAGAAAGAAAGAAAGCUCAUUCUCACUGAGUAAAGCUUCAUUUGGAGGGACAAGAAAACUAGUAGCCAGCCCUGACUACACCGAAUCUUCAGCUGCAUGUUCACAGAAGAACAGAAACACAAGCUUAAAAAAAAUUGCCUUGUGGGAGUGAUCCUAAUCUUUUCUUUGCAUGCUUUGUAGGAGUUGUACAGUAACUGAUCAGUUUCUUUCCAUGUCAUCACUAGGCAUACUAUGACACAAAAGAAGGAAUUUGCCCUUUCAGAUGUGAA